rnacentral:misc_RNA from 1 species
CCGAAAGGCGCCUCUGGGCGCCGCGUCGGCUCAAACCGGUGGAAGCGACCCGUGCUUCGGCGCUCCGGCGCCGCCUUGACGCCUGAAUCCGUCUGACGUCUGAAUGGAAACAUUUGAAUCA